AUACGUAGGGGGCGAGCGUUGUCCGGAAUGAUUGGGCGUAAAGGGCGCGUAGGCGGCCCGGUAAGUCUGGAGUGAAAGUCCUGUUUUUAAGAUGGGAAUUGCUUUGGAUACUGUCGGGCUUGAGUGCAGGAGAGGUAAGUGGAAUUCCCAGUGUAGCGGUGAAAUGCGUAGAGAUUGGGAGGAACACCAGUGGCGAAGGCGACUUACUGGACUGUAACUGACGCUGAGGCGCGAAAGUGUGGGGAGCAAACAGGAUUAGAUACCCGGGUAGUCCACGCCGUAAACGAUGAAUACUAGGUGUAGGGGGUAUCGACUCCCUCUGUGCCGCAGUUAACACAAUAAGUAUUCCGCCUGGGGAGUACGGUCGCAAGGUUGAAACUCAAAUGAAUUGGCGGGG
rnacentral:rRNA from 1 species